CUUUUAGAAUAAGUAUAUCCCAUGCAAUAUUUGGGAUAUACUUAUAGUAAAA
rnacentral:pre_miRNA from 1 species